rnacentral:lncRNA from 1 species
GUUUUUUUUCUCUUCCUUUAAGAUAUUACAUGUUGGGUUGUUGUGUUGAUGCACCAGUGGAUUGGUGUUGUGAAGAAUCUGAUAUUAGCAAAGGGAUAAUGUCUACAUCAAGUGGACUAGAAAAUGUGCAUUAUGAGGGAUCCAAGUUACAUGCAUUUGAAAAGAUUUGUCAGAGUACUGUGCAGCCAAAGAAACAUAGUAAGUUUCCUCGUGCAUAUCGUAUUAAUGGGGAAAAGAAGGUACAUACCGGGAAAAUGAGAUAUCUACCUGUUGAAGAAGCACUUGGUCUUUCAUCAAGCAUCAAGAAAUAUGGAUCUACGCUGAUAAAUACGGUAUCCUCAAGAGUUGUGUCAACCAAAUCCAUAGCAACCAUGACUCGAGGGAUUUUUGGCAAGCCUAGAGCUCAAAUUUCAAACUCUUUUUGUGAGAAGAGCAAAGUGCAGCUUCCUUUAGCAUCAACAGGAUAUACUAAACCUCAAAAUCUUCGAAUUGCCAAAAACAUUGAACAUAGCAAAAAAAUGUUCAAUUAUCUAAAGGUUAAGUGUUCACCACAAUAUUUUGUAUUAAUUACUUGAUUUGAUUUGUCCUCUUCUUAUACUUUUAUUCUUCAGAAAUUUCAUUUUCUAGCAUAUACUCUGAAUAGUUUUUAAAAAAAAUGAUGUUGACAUAUCUAGAGUUGUUAUUAUCUUUCAAAAUAAUUUCCGUUACACCAUCAACAUCUAUAAAGCUUUCAUAGAAAAAAUUCUUUACUUCUGUACUUCCAUCAAAUUGAUGUAGUCUAUUUUUUAGGUUUGGGUGGUUCUACCAGUCUUGAGCAUACGAUCCUGAUGAUUUGAAUAAGAGUCGAAUAAUGAAUUCAUCUACGACUUACCCUUGUGAUCCUUCUCUAGUUCCUUCCCGGAAGUAAGUACCCUUAAUCGUGUACAAUUAUUACUAAUUCAAAUUUAGCUCAUGUCUGUUUCUGGAUGGCCCAUCUUUGCUAGUAGUCAGCUGACUGAUUAACUACUCUUUGUAAUUUCCUUAUUGAUAAAUAUGAAAACAUAUAUAAUACAUUUUUUCAACAACAUAAUGUUGGUCCAUAAGGAUAUGGCCUAGUGGUUAAGGCAUAAGACUAACAACUUGGACAUUCUAGUUUUGAAUCCCAGCUACAACACAUUGUGCGCCCAUCUGAUCUAGCUUUAUUGUGUCAAUAUGUACUUGUGAGAUGGACAAGUUGCCCAAUGAAUUAGUUGGGGUACAUGCAAUUUGAUUGGAACGCCAUUAGUAUUGCUAAAAUAAUGAGUAGGGCACUGAAGAAUAUAUGGCAUAAUGAUAAUCUGAAUGUGUACCGCUUAGUUAGAUGAUAAAUGAUCUAAUCUCUCUUUCUUUUUUUACAUUUCAGGGGAAGUUUUGACAUCUUAGGUGCUUUGGAAAUUUUACCUGGGAUGCUCAAUAGUUGUAUCCAGGCUCAUCCUUCUUCUAGAGUUAGACGUAAGGUGUAUGAGUUCUCAGGUCUUGUGCCUGAUACUCUUAAAUUUGAACUUGUUCCCCGUGGGGAUAUUUGGGAAAGUAUAUUUAACAACCAUAUUCCGAGUAAAGAAGAUAUAGGACUGUAUUUUUUUGCAAGUGAGAAAAAAAGGUCAGCUUCUGCCUUAUAUAUCUAUCCGUAAAGGGGCAAGGGAUUGCAAAGUAGAAGUCCCCCCUUGCAAAGGAACGUUUUUACUAGAAAUUGAUUCUCAUUUCCCAUUAUAUGUAGGUCUGAGAGAUAUAUUGCUCUAGUGAAGUUCAUGCGUAGCAAAGAAUUGGUGAUGAGAAUGAUUAUAAAUGACGUUGAGCUCUUUAUACUUGCAUCCACAGCCCUGUGCAGUGAUUUUCAAAGUACGUCUAUAAUUUCUAUGUUUUUCUCAUUUUCAAUGAUUUUUUAGGUUGUACAUUUACCUGUGUAUGCAGAUUAUUAUGCCUUUGGAAAGUGGGGAUACUUGUUUGGUUUCAUUUGUGCACAUUUUCAAUGAUUUUUUAGGUUGUACAUUUACCUGUGUAUGCAGAUUAUUAUGCCUUUUGAAAGUGGGGAUACUAGUUUGGUUUCAUUUGUGCAUCAAGGUUUUUGCUCUAUAACGGAUUAUCCAAAAGAAGAUGUUAACGGCAGCUAGAGUGUGUCUAAUGGUAUAACAUUUAAGUAAAAUAACAAACUUAAAUAGAAUAUUUGGAAUGCGCUGGUGGAUAUGUUUCUGUUAUAUAUUAUGAAAGAAGACGAGAACUUGAUUUUGCUGGUUAUAAUUUAGCUUUCCGUAUUUGAUGACAUUUUGUCUCCACAUAUCAUUUUGUUCAUAUGGUAAUCUUAAUUCCAAUUAAGGGUCUGUCAACUUCUAAAUUUCUUAUGUUUUCUAUGUGUACUUGCAGAAAAAAAUUGUGAAAUUUGCGGUGAUACAGGUUUUGAAAAAGCAAUUCUACAUGUUAUCAGUGUAACAAUGUUGACGUGCAUCGGUAAUUAUCUCUCCCUCCUUCUUUUUCUCUCUCUGUCUUUUCUUAGCAUGAAAAGGUAGACAAUCAGUUAGAAAAUCUGAAAGCCAUGACUCUCUAUCAAGCUUCAUCACCUUGUGUCAAAUCUAUAUGUUCUUUGUAAACCUCAAACAUUGGCCCAAUCCCAAACCCUCUUUUAUUUAGUUUACUUGCCAUUUCUAAGAGAGAAGUUGAUCCUUUUACACAAGGGGUUGUUCCACUUGAAGGAAAUUGCUAGUUAGAUUAUCAGUUUUGCUUUCUUUUUUGAAUUUUUUUUUGCAUGUUGUGGGAUUUAAUUCUCAUAAAUACUGCUUGUAUCUUUUAUGCAUACAUAAUCCUCUUCUUGUUUUAAAAAAAUUCUGCUUUUUUCUCUUCUUUUCAGAUAUUGCAUGCUGGGAUAUUAUGUUGAUGCACCAAUGGAUUGGUGUUGUGAAGAAUGUGAUAUUGACAAAGGGAUAAUGUCUUCAUCAAGUGGACUAGAAAAUGUGCAUUAUGAGGGAUCCAAGUUACAUCCUUGUGAAAAGAUUUGUCAGAGUACUGUGCAACCAAAGAAACAUAGUAAGUUUCCUGAUGGACAUCGUAUUAACUGGGAAAAGGUGGUACAGACCUGGAAAAUGAGAUAUCUACCUGUUGAAGAAGCACUUGGUCUGUCAUUAAGCAUCAAGAAAUAUGGAUCUCCGCUGAUAAAUACGGUCUCCUCAAAAGUUGUGUCAACCAAAUCCAUGGCAACCGUGACUCGAGGGAUUUUUACCAAGCCUAGAGCUCAAAAUUCUUCCUGAUGAAUGCCUUUUUGAGAUUUUCAAACGUCUUUCCAGUGGUCAAAAGAGAAGUGCUAGUGCUUGUGUUCCCAAGUGAUGGCUUACACUUUUAAGCAACAUUCGCAAGGAUGAGAUUGCAAAAUUUAAUGGAUAUCUUAACAUGUCCUUUGUUGGUAGGAAAGCCAUAGAUGUAACACUUGCUGCUAUUGCUGUUGGAACUGCAAACUGUGGAGGUUUAGCAAAGUUAUCCAUUCAGGGAAAUAACCUUUAUCGUGGUGUGACUGAUGUUGGUCUCAAGGCUAUCGCUCAAGGUUGCCCUACUCUCAAAGAACUUUCCUUAUCGAAUGUGUCAUUUGUUGGUGAUGAAGGCUUGUCUGAGAUUGCUCAUGGUUGUCAUCUAUUAGAGAAGCUUGAUCUUUUCCAAUGCCCAAGAAUUACUAAUAAGUCCUUGUUAGGUAUAGCAAAGAAUUGUCUCAAUCUCAACUCUGUCAACGAAUGAUUGUUCAUAUAUUGAGAAUGAGUCUCUCAAAAUUAUGGGUCAAUAUUGCCUGAACCUUAAGCUUGUUGGAUUAAAAAUGUCCUUGAGUAGGCAAUGCUACCAUUGAUGUAAUACAUAGACUAUGUCACAAAUUAAUUCAUCUAGAGCUGAAUGGGCUUCUUCGUAUAACGUCAGUGUUAAGCUUGUGAUGAUUUGUUCAUGUCCGAGUCUUAUGUAUUUGUCUUUUUAUAAUAGUAAUAUCCAGUGAAUUUAAUUUCAAAAUUUCUAAUUAUAAUAUCUAGCAAUGUCUAAUCUUUGCGACUAAAAAAUCAUUUUUAUUUACUAGAUAAAGAAGAAAACUUAAUUGGUUAUUAUAAAUCUCUUAAUACAAGUAAUAGUACUAUCUAAGAAUGAUAACUUUUUAGCUUGCCUUGUAUGUGACAGUGAAAGUCGGAUCAAAGCACCACAAGUGCUAUGAAGAGAGGUGAUUUACAAUAAAUUAGACCAUCAACGUAAAUUUUGUCAAUUCAUGGUAAAGUUUAUCAAUACAUUUAGCUUAAUUAAAAUAAUGAAAAUUUGUAUAGGUGAUUUCAACUUAUACAAGGAUUGGGUUUUAUUUAGAGUGAGUUAAGUUCUGAACAAAUUUAUUUAUUUAUUUUUUACAGCUAUCAUAUCAUUAAAUUGGUAUCGAAAAAUUAUAUUUUCAAUUAAAAAGGAAUGCGAGGAUAACUAAUUAAUCAACUAUAUAAAUCAUUUGGAUUGGUUGCGCUCUAUUUAGGUCUAUAUAUUAAAUUAAAGAUUCACCUUAAAUUGUUCAUUUUUUAUAGGAUAAAUUUCUUAAAUGAUCACUAGCUUAAUUGAAUAGUAAAAUCACUUAUUUAUUGUCAUAUCAAUAAUAUCACACCAAUAGGAAAACAAUUUCAACACUAAUCUCAACUUAUUCAAUUCCAAAUCAUCUAUUAGUAUUUUUAAGAAACUUAUUUUCCAUAGAAUAUUUUUCUCCGUACCAAAAACAUUUCUCUAAUAUUAUGACUGUUCUUAUAGGCUACUAAAAUAUUUCCAACAAAAAGCAAUUUGCUAUUAGCUAUUCAAUUUGGUCCAAUCAUUUUAAUAUGUCAAUCAAUCUAUUUGGAAAACCUACCAAUUCUAUAGGAGGAAAAAGCCAUAAUUGUGGUUCCUAUUGAAAGGAAUAAUUGUCUUUUUAUUAAGAACGGUGUUCGAUUCAACUUGUGCACACCUAGAUAGCCUGUGGGAACUUGCUACAUCCUACGAGCACAGUCGAGUUGAAAGAAAUCACCUAGGGUGGUGGCUAGCUCUGACAUCAUAGUUUCAACCCAAGGAGAACCACACCCCAAAAAAACACUAUUGAGGUGGGAGAGACCGACCCCGAGGCUAUAUAAACCCCACAUCAACACUUUGCAGUAUCAAUAUGGGACUUGCAAUGGACCAUAACACAAAAGUUCAUACUAGAAAACAGCUCCAAUAAAGUACAUGGUCUUUUUACUUUUUAUAACAGAGAAAUCGCAAAGGUCCAGAGGGGCACGAUUCGAAACUCAGAGGAUAAGGUGACUACACUACACUGACUCGAGGGAGGAAAAGAUUCAUAAUACCUGAACAAAGCUAGAGCAUCAUGUAAUGUAUAUGUAAUUUAUAAAUACACCUUAAUAAACAAGCAACAACCAUUUGGUUCAACAGAACAGUUUCAGCAGCCAGUAUUGUCCCCAGUUUUCUGCAACUGCAAAGUACUCAACUAGUAGAAAAGACAAAAAUUCUUAAGGAUUUCUGGCUACUCAACAUUUAGAUAACAGAGGCAAGCAGUCUGCAUAUUUCUGAUGACCACACUCAGCAAUCUUGAAAGAAGAUAGACCACUACAAAUUCAACCGUGCUGCGCUGACUAUAGACAAAAUGGUGAUGUUUGACCAGUACAAUAUCAAGUGCAUUCAUUUCUCAUCUUAUUCAUACCUUUGCAAUACUUCAGGCAAAGAGCGAAUGAAGAUUGCUCCAUGAGUAUAUAUUCGACUUCAGUGGUUGCUUCUAAUGCUCGAUUGUGACGUGUUCCUGCACCAGAUUAGUCUCUAUUCGAGCUUUAACACCAGUCUCAGUCUGGCUCGGUUCAACAACUGAUACAAUCUCACACUCUUGACCAUCUGCGUCAAAUUCAGUAGCUUGCUUGUGUUGGUUAUUUGAUUGAGAAGAAACUUCACUUGUUUCCUUGGGUAAAGCAUUCAGCAGAGAUGCAGCUUCAGUUGAUUCCUUGGAUGAGCUAGACUUGCGAAUGGAAAGCUUUCUUGUUUCAUUGGAUAAGUUGGUUUUCUCAGAUGGCAGCUUAGGAAGUGACUUCCUUUGAGGCUUCUUAACAAUGAGAGGAGAAUGCCCUUUGACAGGGUUACUUUGGGAUGCAUUUUCGUCCAAGCUUAACCUACCUGGGCGCAUGACACUCUCAUUGAUUCUUUCUUUGGUGGGCGAGCUCUUUCUCCUCCCAAGUUUGGGGGAUUUAGCUCUGGUUGGUGGAAUCUAGCAUCAUAAGAUAGUGACAGAAGGUGUUAAUUAAACACCGGGAUAACUUGUAAAUUUCAAAAUAAACAGGAAGAAUAAACUACUUUAGGAGGGGCUUCAGCUGUACAUAAACAAAACUAGCAAGUAAGAAAGCAAAUAUUAGAAAAUUUCUUUAGAUAAAACGCACAAGAGCAUGACAUACCAGCAUCCUAGCAUGACCAGCAAAGGUAAGGCAUCAAAUUCAGGUUAAGAUAGAUAUAUUUUACAAAUGUAUAGGGCAGCCUGGCACACUAAGCUCCCGUUAUGUGGGGGUCCAGACCUACACAGCCUUAUCCUGCAUUUCUACAAGAGGUUGUUUCCACAGCUCGAACCCGUGACCUCUUGAUCAUGUGGCAGAAACUUUACUAGUUACGCCAAGACUCCCCUUCAUUUUAGAUAUGUAUAGAUACAAAAUAUACAUGCACAUGAUAAAUAGGGGCAGAUGUAGACAUAUAUACCAGAAUUUCCCUUCAGAACAGAUAAUUUUUGCUCAACACUUUGGAGAGAUUGACACAAGAUAGAAGUAUUUCCGCAUACUAUCUAGUUUCCCAACUCCAUUUCUUUGCCAACUGAAUAGUGAAGUGCCUGAAGGGAGCUCCUAAAUCAUCUCAUACCACCUACUUAUAAAAGCUAGCUUUGACCAUAACUUGCCUGCUUGACCCAUUAACAUUUCCUGAUCUUAAGUAGAGUAGAUGGAGGAACUAUAAUUUAUGAUUGUUAUGGUGAUUAAGGACGGCAUGUAGUGUUUAUAGCACAAAAGAGAGUGCUUUCAAGAAAUAAUAAAUAAUGAUCCAAAGCUAAGAGAAAUUUUACCUAGUCUUAGAUUUACUGAAUCAGGAAUAUAUCUAGCCUAUGAUGAACUGUCAAGAACCACAUGUGUACUCUUCACAUUUCUAUCAUGCUUAACCACUUUGCAUCUCACUGAGUUUGCUUACAAUAAGAGUCACUAAUCCAGUAUUAAGAUAGCACCUUAUGAGGCUCUGUACAGGAUGCAUUGUAAAUCUCUCACUGCUGGUUUGGGCCAAGGGAGAGGAGGCUCUUGGGACCAAAUUGAGUACAUGAAUCCUUGAAAAAGGUUCAGUUCAUUAGGAAAGGACUAAAAACAGAUCAAAUGGGUAAAAGUCGUACACUGACAAAAGAAUUAGAGAGUUUGAUAUCAUGCUUGGUACAACGAGUGUUUGUGAAGGUAUCAUCCAUGAAGGGUAUCACGAUGUAAGAAAAGAAAGGAGAGAUAUGCCCGAGAUUCAUGGAUCCUAAGCAUCAUUGAGUGUGUGUGUAGGUGCAAUCGUGUACCUGUAGACACUACCGCUAGAAUUUACAACUUUACACCCAGUCUUUCAUGCAUCGCCUAUUAAGUGUAUACAUGAUCCCAUGCACAUCAUAUUAGCUGCCUUUGGCCCAGCUAAGUCAGCAAAGUAGCACUUAAAAUAUGAACAUCGUCCCUCUUACAAAACCAGACCUUAGUAGCCUUUGUCCCAACUGUCUGCAAACUAGCACUUAAAACAACGGUCCCAUCUGUGUCAGCAAAAGGUCAGCCCUUCAGUGCUAAAGAUCUAUCAGGUCCAACCAUCCAACAAUUUCACUAACAAAUAAGAGCCAUAACAAUUUCACAAUGUUGAGAUGGCACACUAACGAGAGAGGAUUGAUUCCAAGACUAACUUUUCCACAAUUUAACUUGCAUAUAGUGUCCCUUUUAAAGUGAACAGGUAAUGAAGUUGACCUUGUCUGAUACUUAUCCAGGAAAAAAGUAAAAGGUUGACCUGAUUUCCAGUAUCAUGUAUUUCUACACCGGACUCAUAUCCUUUUCUAUUGCUACUUAAGCACCAAAAUCACAUCUUACACACCUAUUCUAUCAAUUCAGGUACUGUAUCAUCAGAUUUUAUUCUUGUUGAUUUUUUCCUCAAAGAUCAGCCACAUCAAUUAUGCAUCAAAAAGUAGAGCUUCACAUAUAAUACUGGAACUUCACCAAGAGACAAGUUUAUUAUGCACUUCUUUUUCCCGAUCAUGCUAAGCACUUAAAAUAUCACAAGAAAUGAUGAUGAAAUUCCACUAGCUAACAAUAAAGUCAAUCUUCACAUAAAUGUAUCAAUUGCAAUGCUCCAUUUGUGGUAAAAAAAUUCAAGAAAAUGAACACCCAACUCUACAAAGCUAUAUCCAGUUUAACUAUUGAUCUAUGACUUUUUUAGGAGCUCAGUAGUACUGCAAUUUCACAUAAAUAUAUCAAGGGCGAUCGCCAAUAGUGGUUUAAAGUCAAGACACUGAACCUCCCAACUCUACCAAGCUAUAUCCAGUUUAACAAUUGUUAGCUAAGGGUAUCUUUUCAGAGCUCAGUAGUACUGCAAUUCCUUUCUUCAUAGUUCAUCAUAUUUAGACAGAACAUGCAGUUUCAGUGUCAAGUUGAAAGCAUUCAAAAGAUCAGCAAAAGGAUGAACUUGAACCUAACUCGUUUACUAUAUUUUACUAGAGCUUCAAAAAACAAAAACAAAAAAUAAACAGUGCUCCACAUUACAUUACCUGACACCAAAUAUAUUUUUAAAAAAUCAGGAUAAAGCAAAUGAUAUUUAUCAAUUCUGGUAACAAAAUCAUUUUGAGCCAAAGAACCACUAAAUAUUCAAUAUACUAUGUCUAAGAACAGCAAAAGGCAUUUCAUACCAUACAAGAUUGUAUUUCUCGGCAUUAUAACAUACAACACAGCAAAAAAUUACCUUCUUCAACUCCAUCUUUGGAGGUGCAGGUUCCUGAUAAAAGCUUGGCAUGGGUGUUGCUUUAAAUUUUAAGCUCUUCCUUAACAUUUUGAUCUCAGCUUCCUGUGUUUCCUGUUAGAGAAAUGAAAGAAAAUAAAAUGGGAAUGCUACAAGAUAACCCUACAACAAGAAAUUUUCUACACCAAGAGAUCCAGAAGCAGAAGUGUCACAACACCUUAGUCUUGGCUUGCAUAUUACUUUUCUCAACUUCCUUUGCCUGGGUUUUUUCUUCAAGCUUGGAGUAAAACUGUCCAAAUAACAAGACAAAUGUUCUUAGAUUGACUUCACGGUGCAAGACUAUCAAGCAUAUAUUAUAAGCUUCAGUGAUGCAAGCAGAGGGCUAACCUCUUUCCUUUUCUCAGCUCUUUCAUCACACUUGAAACUGAUAUUGUAGGUUGGAAGAGUACCUACUUUGCGAGUUUUGGCAUCUGAUGCAGCAGUAGGACUGCUAGGAAGUGAUUUAAGGAUAAACUGAAAGACUUUUAUUAUGCUAAUAAAAAUAAGAAUUCCAAAUCUAAGGAGUGAAGGGAAAAAAAAAGAUUUGACACAUUUAGGAUACGAAGAUGAUUCUGCACUUCCAUCAGCUUUAUUAGGGAGCACUUUCUUCAAAGGCAUCAGUUUUGUUUUUCCCUGCAGUAACGAAAUUAUAGUUCACAAACCACUGGGGAAAAGUUAUCAUUGAUUGUUUGGCACGUUUUGAAAGCAUUCUCAGUACAAUUAUCAUAGGACUCCUCCAAGUAAUAGGUAAGAAACUACAAGAGAAAUCGGACAUACUUAAGGCCUUCAGACUGAGCAGCACUCGGAGAAGCUGAUGCUGCUACUUCAGCAUGACCAGGUUGCUGCUAGAAGACAGCAGAAAAGGAAUAUGAUAUUGAUGACAAUAAACAGAUGCAUAUGAAGCUGCAAUAUUGAAAUUCAGAUUGCUGUUACUCUGGACUGCAGGUCAUAAAUUAGACCCAAGACAUUUACCUUAGCACGAUCAACAUUUAGAUGAGCCAAUGCAGGUUUUGAAUAAUACUCAACAGUUUUCUUGUCACUGAAUGAUUUACCCUUUGCAUCAAGGGAAGAUGGCUGCUUAGGACGCGGUUUGGAGGCAAGGGUACCAUUUGAUGCCUCUUUUCCAUCUUUGCUUUUCUUGGCUACGCCAUUUUUGGGGCCUGAAUUCUUAGCAUUCCUUGCCCUAGGUGGAGUCUUUUGCUCUUUACUGUUCGUUGCAUCAUCAGAUUCUUUUGCUUCAUGUUCCUGCAAGUAAAUAAGCAAUUACCUAAAUGUGGUGUUCAAAAUGUCCUUAGAAAGUAAAAACUGGAUAAACUCCCUUACCUCGGAACUGACACCAGCAUUGCUUUCUACAGUAAUUGUAGUUUCAUUACUGACCUCUUGGACAGAAGAUCCAACUGUUUCACUAUCAGUCAAUACGACAGUGCUCUGGAAACUCCUCUCUAGUUCUUCAUUACUGGGACUUGCAUGAGGCAUCCCAUUGGAUAUGCCAGCAACAACUUCUGGAAGUUGGUGGACUCCAUUUCCAAAGCCCAACCCAUUUCCAGAAACAGCUAUGUUAUUGACAACAUCCAUCAUGCUCUAUAAUGUUUCAAAAUUUGCAACCACAAUUCUACAUGUCAACCACACAAACAGAAAAUGCCUCAUGAGUCAUGAUUAAAACAGGUGUUUUUAAAGUAUAAUCAAACCCCAAUAGUAGGGUCUAAAGAAAUGCAAUCUCAUACUAAAAAACAACCAAUCCAGCAGAAAACAAAUUGUAUAUAGAGGAUUACCAAAGCAAUGCUACAACCACAAAAAGCUCAACUUUCAAAAAAUUCAUACUUUAGAACACUACAGACUCUCAUCUAAUACUUCAAUCACUUUGUUCUUCAAACAAACUAACAACACACAAAUCAAAACUCGGGCUUUGCAUCAAGUCAAUACCAUUUCUACUGAGCUGAGAAACAAGGUUAAAUCACCCUAAAAAUCAAACAUUUCCAUCAAUUACAAUCCAAUUCCAAUUAUGAUGUGGAUCUUGGGUAUCCAUUCCACUCUAUUCAAGUUCAUCUAUGCAAAGUCUCAGCAAAUGACCACAAACAAAGAACUCAAAAACCCAAAUCCAAAUACAGUACCAGAAGACGACAAAAUCAGUAGACCGACACUUACUCUACUUAGAUCUCCAACCGCAAUAAAAAGAUCCAAUCUUUUUCUCAAUCCAAGAUUCACCACAGCAAAUCCAAAACCCCAAAACAGCAAAACCCAUUUUCACAAAGCUAAAUACCCACAAGAUAUACAUAAUGUACCAAUAUUUUAUAAACACAAACCACAACAAAUGCAGUUGCUAGCUACUAAAUGCAAUUUACUUACCUAAACAACCAUAAAAAGAUCACAAGCCCAUGAAAUCCACAAGGGAUCUGAAAGAAUCUUGACACAGAAAGCCAAACACUUGCAAAACAAACAAGAAUCUUGAAAUCUUAGAAACAAUUUAUGAAAAUGCUUUAAAGAUGGUGUUUUCUUGAACUUGAAAGUGAAAAGUUGAGAACUUUGAAGAUGGGGUUUCUCUAUUUCACAAAAUUCUCAACUCAAAAAUAGAGAAGGGGGGGACAGUUUUGCUCAUGUGUGUGUGUUGGGGAUGGUUUUUUUUUUUUUUCCAAUUUAUUUUAGUAGUUGUAUGUGACAGAAGUAUUCAAAUCUAUACCAGGUCACUGUCUCAAAAGAAAAAAAAUCACCUUAAAUUUAAGGAUAGGGAGGAACAGACAUGUACCAGCCCCAUGAUCAUGCUUACCUGGUAAUAUCAGUGGCUCACAAUUGAAGAUUAUUCCUUUUUUUUAUAUAUUGGAUUUAAUUAAUUAAUUGAUUUUACCUUUUUUGUGGAAUUUAUAUUCCGUUCAUUUUAUUAUCCAAAAAAGACAGCUUUGGUUGAGACCAAAGUCACAAUUUUAACGAGGACAGCGGUAACCCCAAGUCGCACAAAUUUGAAAAAUUGAAGAAGCAAAUAGUUUUUUUUAUUUGAAAUUAUUUUGAAGUUGAAUUUCAAGUUUGAAAAGGUGCUUUAGACUUACUUUUCAAGUGAGUUUUUCUCAUGAAAAUUUUUAUUUUAUUUUAAGUUAAAUGUGUAUUUAACCAUAACUUAAUUUUUAAAUAGUAUUUUUCAUUUAAAUAAAUAUCAUAUUUUUCAUGUUCAAACUUCAAAAACCUAUUCAUGAUUUUCUCCUGUCACAAUUUUCAUGCUAAAUCGAUCCAAAAUAAUUCGUCAUAACCUUCAUUAAUAGAUGAGUUUGAACUCUUCUAUGUAAUAUUUAUUUUGUUGAGAUGACUCUUCGUUUAUGAUUGGAGAGAAAUCAGAAAUAAAAAAAAAAACUACAAAUAAAGGUUUUUCCACUGCGAAUCAAUGAGAAAUUUGUGUUAUAGAACCUGAUUUUUCCACGCAUUUUUUAUUAAAGCAUUUCACUGAGAAAAUGAAUGGUGAAAAACAGAUUCUCAUUGAAAUAGUGAACAGUUCUGUAAUUUUUCCAUAUGAAAAAUUACUAUUUUUUCUAUUCUCACUAAAAAAAUAAAUAUAUUUUUAGCACAAAUUUUGCAAUGAUUCUACAAAUGUUCAUCAAGUGCUAAUACUUAAAUUGCUGAUAGAUUAAUACUCUUGUUUUUGCUCAUAGACUUAUGUAUUGAUUAUUUCUGUGAGAACAAGUCCGAAAAAGUCUAUAGACUAGCAUGUACAUAAUUUACACUUUUUUGGUUGAAUAAAGACUUUUUUCAUUUAGCUAAGAAAAAAAAAACUUUCAUAUCCUAAAAUUACUUAUGUUUCAAAAAUCUUUUCCUAUUUUAUCCAUAUACUUUGUGUAUGAAGGUAUACCGGUUAACAUAAAAAGCUAUACAUAUAUAUAGUUGAUUUUGAAUAUGUUAUUAGUUCAAAAAUGUUUAUUUAUAUAGCUUAAAAAAUCCUACUAAUUAAUAUUUUACCCAUCAAAAACAGUAAUUUUUCAAUUUAAUCACAAAGUCAAAAUGAACGGGACAUAAGGAAAACAACAGCAUCAUAAUUUUGCACGGGAAAUCAAUUUCAAAAUAAUAUUUCUAAGAAAAGAAAGAUGCAAACAUCAAAGUCAACAAUUUUUUGACAAAAUUGAGUUAAUAUUCUUCACUCAAAUCCUAUAAAUAUGGCAAAAUUAGAAUAAAAGAUAUUCUUGAUAGGUAUUAUAAAGUUGUUUUACUUUUCUGAAUGAGUAAAUUUUAGGUUUAGCAAAUAUAAAAUUCAUAUUUGUAUGUUAUAGCUAUAGUUUGUAUACUUGCGGUCCAUAGCAAACUUUAUGUUUGCUAUGACUAUUAAUCUGUAUAUUUCGGUAUACAUAUACAUACAAAAUAUGUAUUUGGGUCUAUUUGUAUAUUUCGGUAUACAAAUGAGUCAUGCAUUUGUAUAUUUUGGUAUACAAAUGAGUCUUGCAUUUGUAUAUUUCGAUAUACAAAUGGGUCCUGCAUUUAUAUAUUUCGGUCUAUUUGUAUAUUUUGGUAUACAAAUGGGAUGGCAAAAAACAUGGAAUGUUUACUGCGAAUUACAAAUAAAAGAAACUAUGGCUAUAACAUUUAAUUUGAAUUAAUGGUUUAUUAUUUCAUACAAUUUUCCCUUUUUGAAAUGUGCAUUUUUAAUAGAUGAGUUUCCUAUAUAUAUAGAGAGAGAGAGUUUUUCUAUAUCUAUUAUUUUUUACUUUAAAAGGUUUCAAAAGUAAUUUCCGUAUCUUACUUAUCAAUUAUUUUUUAUAAAAUAAACUAAAUAAUGAGAGGAAUAAUGAAAGUGUGGCGGAUUUUUAAUUUUAUUUGUUAAAAGGGAUGGGGAUAUGGAAUAUUACCCCUCUAAUUAUUGAUCAUGAAAACCAAAAGUACGAAGUUUUUACGAAUAUCGUGAAAUGCAUAUUUGAUAAAAAGACUAAUAUAUAAAUAAAAUAUCAUAAAUUAUUAAAAUAUUUGACAAAAAGUUAAUCUAUCAAGUCUAAUUAAAAAAUGAUUUGUAAUGUGAAUUCAAUAUUACUAAAACAAAUGAAACUGAAAAUGUAACAUAUGUUAUAAAUUCAAAACAAAAUAUUUAACAUAAUACUCUUAUCACAAAUUUCAACAUAGCAUACAUAAAUAUGAUUUAUUUUUUUUAUUUUAAAAAAAAAAAAGCGUAACUCUAUAACCUUACUUAAGAAUAAAUCUAUUUUAAUUUAAAAAUUAAAAUACUAAUAAAAUUAUGCUAAUGAGAAUAUAAGCAUGGCAUAAAGAAAUAGAUAAUACGAAAAACUGCAUAGAAUCACGUGAAGUAAGGUUGAAAAUGAGAAGAAAAUGAAAUAUAAUAAUAUAAAAUAAACUUUUAGAAAUUUUUAGAAUAAUAAUAAAAUAAAAAAACUUAAAAUAAUAAUUAAAAAAAAAACAAAAAAAAAAUUAAAAAGUAAUCAGCUGGUAGUUACACGAUGUAAAUUUAGGGGUGUGCACUAUUCAGAUUAAACCGAAUAACCAAACUAAAUCAAACCGAAUUUUUAUUUGGAUUGGUUUUUUGGUUUUUCGGUUUUUCGGAUUAACAAAUUACUUUGUUUGAUUUUUUGGUUUGGUUUUGGAUUUUAAAAAAUAAAAACCGAAAAAAAUCGAAUUAUAUAUAUAUAAUGUUUAGGCUUAGAAUUAAGUUGGAGUUAACCACUUUUGUCCCUUUUUGGUUAUUGCCUUUCAUGAUGAUUUCGUUUAUAUUUUAUGUUUGAAUUACAUCUAUAAUAGGUAUACUUAUAAGUAUUGUGUUUUAAGUUUUACUUAUGAUUUAUAUUAGAAAGUAUAUUUAAGGGAUUAAAUAUUAUUACUUUGGUUAUAUAUGUUAUUAAUUAUUGACAUAACCGAAUAACCAAACCGAAAAAAGCCAAAUCGAAUAGAGGAAAACCAAACCAAAUCAAAUUUAUUUUGGAUCGGAUUGGGUUACACUUUUACAAAACCAAAAACCAAAAAUCCAAACCGAAUAGUGUCAAACCAAACCAAAAAACCGAAUGCACACCCCUAGAUGUAAUUACCAGCAAUUCACAACCUCUCUCUGUGAAUUGGAGAAUGUAAUUACCCCCUGUCAAUUACAUGCUAACCAAUAAUUACAUGUCCAACCAAACAGGACAGACAGUGUAAUUACACCCAAUUACACCAAAUUCAAUUACCAGGGUGGCUUUCCAAACAGGCCCAAGUGUUUAGUAUAAAUAUUAGGUGUAAAAAAAAUCUUACAUACCAAUUUUUGCUGAUUUGGAAUUACACGUGGCAAGAAAAUGCUAUGCUGGACAUAUUAGAUAGAUUCUUUCUUACACAUGUGACCUCAUUAUAGGAUAGUUGCUUAAAAUGGACGAAAACUUUUAGAUUAUUAUAGUGGCGUGGCCAUAUAAAUCAGGGCGGAGCUAGCAUAUCGAUUACAGAUUCGAUAAAACUCACUAUAGAUCAUGUCUUUAUAAUAUAAAAUUACUCAAGAUGUAUAAAUAAUUUCUCAAAGAUCUUUAUAAUUUUUUAUCUAAAAUUCAUAAAUUUAAAAUUUUAAGUCCAUCUCUCGCAAUAAUUUAGUCAUCAAAUGAGAAAUGGUCUUGGAGUCAAUGACACAAAGAGCAUGAACAAAGAAAAUAAGUUUAUUGAAGUGGCCCUAAUCUUUCAUAAACUUAUGAUUUAUUAUUAGACAAACUCAAUUAUAGAGGAAUUUUCCUAGUAGUGGCCACUUGGUAAAGCAAUUUUAACAUAGAUGGCAACUGUGAAUAUGAUGUUUGAUUAGGUUAAUCACACUUAAUCAAUUAGCUAUAGAAACUUACUUUAGCUUUUCCUUGAAAAUACAUAAGAGGAUUGUUCGCGAUAAAAAUAAUUACUCCUUUUUCAAUUUUAUCCUCGGUGGUAAUUAUUUUUGAAGAUUAUAAAACUCUAGUUAUGGAGUAGUGACACAUAAAUAAAGUAAAAAUCUAACUAAAAGAUGUUAUAUUUUAAAGACAUAAAUAAAAGUAAAAUAAAAGAACAUUUCUUAAUUAAUAUAUUUUUUAAAGUACAUAUAAGAAAAUAAAAUACGAUAAAUAAUUUAAAACGGAAGGAGCAACUUAUUUUCUGAGGCUGCAAACAUUCUUCAACACUCCACGUGCGGCAUGUUCCCAGAGUUGAGUAUGAAAAUAAUUUUGGGUCAAUCGAUCAUUAAAUUAAUUAAUGUGCCAAACCUAUAUCCUUCGUUUCAAGUGCAAAAUUCAAAUACACGUUCCAUUAUUAUUAUUAUUAGGGGGUAUUGCUCUUUAACUAUAGAUCAGAUCAAAUAGAAAGAAACUUAAUUCCGCGGUGGGUGGGGCUGAUGCAAUUAAGGUUAAUAUGGUGUUUAUUGAAGUUGAUGAGCUUGUAGUACAAGAUUAGAAACAACGGACACUGCAUGAUGUAUCUUAAAUAUUUCUUUAAUUCUAUUUUUAACGACGAUGGACAUGAGACUCUAUUAAAAACAAAAGUUUUAUCACAAAUUAGUGAAAAUUUUGUAUUAAUCAUUUUUUAUCGAAUUAGCUCGUUGGGAAAAUAUAUGGUAAGAAAUUGAAUUCUCACUGAAAAUACUGAAAAACUUUCUAUUUUUUUAAUAUGAAAAUAGUGAUAUUCUUUUUCUUACCAAUUCAAUCAAACAUAUUUGUAGAAACAGCCAAUGAACAUUUUUUGAUGGAAAGUUUUAGUGAAAAAAUAAUGAUUUUGUAGUGUGGGUGAGGACAAUGGUAGUUAGGGUUUGUGCGAGAGAGAAUAUAUAUAUAAAAAAAAAGAGAAGAUCUCCAAAAUUCCUAAUAUGGUUUGUAAAUAAAUAAUUUUAGUUAUGAUAAAUAUAAGAGCAAAUUUUAGGAAUAACAAACAUAAAAAUCAUAGUACUGAUUUAUAACUAUAGUUUUGCUAUUUUGCUAUGGAGCAUCUGAUUUGUAUAAAUCACAGACAUCUGAUUUGUAUAAAAUCGCAGCGAUUGUAUAUGUAUAUCGACUAGAUAAUUGUAUAUAUGUAACUACUAUGUAUAUGUAUCAAUGAUUAUGUUUGUAUAUCUACAAAAAAUUUGAAUAUGUAUACAAUUGAAUCGAGUUAAAACAUUUGUAUUUGUAUAUCAAAUAUAUAUCUCUCUCUCACGCGCGCUUUAUACAAACACAAAUUAUACAUUGUAUUUUGUAUAAUUUGUGUUUGUAUAAAGCGAGAAAGAGAGAAAGGCAAAAGAGAACUGGGCAGGGGAAGAUUUGUAUUUGUAUAAUUAUAAGUGGAUAGGACGAAGAGAUAUGUAUUUGUAUAUACAGUUCUCUCUCGCUUUAUACAAACACAAACACAAACACAACUUAUACAUUUGUGUUUGUAUAAAGUGAGAGGCGAGCAAGAGAGUGGCGAGCGAGAUUCAGGGGAGAGAGGUAAAUGACAAAAAGUUUGUUGCGAACUGGAAUUAAAUGAAACUGUAGCUAUAUCAUUUAUUUUGAAUUAAUACUUUUCUAUAAUGCACAAUUUUUCCUAAAUAUAAAUUAUAUAUGUAAAAAUCCCUUUUAUGUGAUGAGUUAUUAAUAUGCACCUAGUAGUUUUGCAUUACUAUGUAUGGUAAUAUUGGGCUGUGUUGCCAAGGAACUUGGCCAACCAGGCCCAGCAAAAAAAAGGCCCUGACCCAGAAUGAGUUACCAGGCCAGGUCAGCUUGUCGUGGCAUGGGUUCGUGGGGAUUUAGUUAUUAUCGUAUAUUAAUUUAGUGAACUUAGUUAUUAUCGUAAAUUAACUUAAAAUCAUUGUAAAAACUCAUAAAUUUUAAAUCAUGGAUAUGAAUCAUACCGUUGAAAAAAAAGAGAAGAAAAAAGAGCAUGCAUUUGCUCACUAGUCACUACGCAUUAAUGUAUAAUUAACGUGAAGAAAAUUUUCGCUAGUGAGUACUCACUCCCAUAUUAUUUGUCCACCUAUUAUAAAUAAUUGUCCCAAAUCAAACCAAGAUAAUAAAUAUAAAAUUAGUACAAUAUAAGAUAGUAAAAUUACAAUGUCAAACUCAUGUAACUAAUUUUUUUUCUUCAUAUCUUUUAAUUAAUUACCUUCAACAUUCUCUACUAAUUAAACUAUAUAAUAUAAUUAGUACUCUUAAGAAAUAUGGGAUGAUUUUCUUGUACUUCUUCCACUCUUCCAAUUCCUUAGUAUCUGUAUUCUUUGAACUGUCUCCAUGAAUGUUCUGCAAAAUUAAACCAUUAUAUAUCCUCUGAAUAAAUACUGGAAACAACAAUUUCUAAUUUAUAUUUUACUUGUCAUAGAUCAAAUAUAAAUAAUGGUGUAGCAACCGAGCACUCCUGGAUUUGAAGUUUAUAAAUUUUACACAAUUUCAAGUUAAUAUAUACAAUAAUAAUCAGGUUUACAAUCAAAUAUUCAUCUAGAGAUGUUAGUAAAUUUUUGAAUACAUAUCUAAAGUAAGAGUAAAAGUUACUGAAUUUACGUGAAUCACAAUAGGAUAGAAGAGGUAAGGUACAUACUCCCAAGGUACAUCUCCAGCAAGCAUCCAAUCUCCUUCUUUGUCUUGGUACAAUAGUGUAAAGCGUCCAUCAUUUUCAUCACAACUCUCAUGUGCUGCAUAUAAAUUAACCAAACUUAUUAAUUCAAUUCUUAAUUAAUUCCUUAUUGUUAUUUUGUGAAAAAAAGAAAAGAGGACAUGCUAUUUUAAUUUUCAUAUUUUUAUAUAAUAAUAGUAGGAGUGAAUUAAUUACUUACAUUUAUGAAACAUUUGGAGCAAGGUGUUAGUAAGGAUUUGGUAAGAAUUAUAUAACAUUAGAUCAAUUUUUCUUCCAAUGGCUACUCCUUCCAUUUUAACCUUCACAUACAUGGAAUUUCUAAUUCCAAUAUUGUGUCUAUGAUUAAUAUUAUUAUUAUUUUUAUUCCAUCCAACUUCAUGAUUAAUCCCAUGAAUAAGUUUUUUUCUCCAUGAUUUAAUUGGUGGCCACCCCACUACUCCAUUUUCUUCCUUGAAUUCCCUGCAUCACAAAUUCAUAUUUAUUAAUUAGUAAUAAUUAAUAUAUUCUAAGAUCAGCUAAAAAAAAUGAUUUUUAAUACACUUAAGGAAAUUAAACUAAAAGAAUAACAAUAUUGUCAGACAAGAAAUUAUAAGUCAAAGCCAUUAAUUAGGAUUUCUAACUUAUGAUUCUGGACUUAUUUUGACUUAAUAACAAAGUGUUUAAAGUAUUUUUUUAAUCUUACCCAAAUGGCCAAACAAUAUACCAGUGUUUAAAAUCUGUUUUGACUUAAAAACACUAAAAAAUAAGUCAAUUCAAAUAAACUCCAAGUUUCCAAGUACAUAUACAAGUAUGUUCAAGUAGUUUAUGAUAUGAGAGAUCAAUGAGGAGCAGUGGUGCAGUCAUAAUUUUCAGUAAGAGAGUUUAAAAUAUGAUAAAGUAAAUAAAUAAUUUGAAAGAAGUUAAAAGUGAUUCAACAUUUUACUAUAAAAUAGUUUAAUCAUGUAUAAAAUAAAAUAAAUUUCCUUUAAAGGACUUCGAAUAAAACCUUAGACCCUAUCUGACUCCGCAUCCAACGAAGAGUUAGUAAAGGUAUGAAUGAAACUACAUAAACAUGUAGUAAUAAUAUAUUUACAACAAAUAGCAGAUAAUUUACAUUACACACAUUUUGUAACAUAAACUUACUGAUUAUAACAAGCUUCAAAAUUUCUCCUUUUUUGAUAACCAUCAUCAUUAUCAUCUUCUUCUUCAUUUGGUUGGCCAUUCCAUAUAAACAAAGGUAAUGUUUUACCUUCAACUUUGUUGCUACCAUAAUCAUCAUUAUUAAUCUUCUUCAUUUCUGAGAAGUUGUCAUCAAAUGUGUCAAUAUUAAUGUUGUCAUUUAGGUAGGAAGAUUUGAUAGGAUUAACAAAAUGGGAAUUAGGAAGUGCAAGACCAAGACCAAGCUCAAGUUCCAUCUCAUAAAUGAUAUCACAAAAAUACCUAUAGAUUUUAUAAAAGAAUUGGUAUAAUUUGUUGUAGAUGUUUAUUUAUUUAUAUAUAAGUAAAUAUUAAUGUGGUAGAAAAAGGAAAGAGAGGAGAAGGAGAAUUGUCUGGUGAGAAAAAGAAAAAGGGAGAGAGCAUUGAAGUUGGGUCGGCCAAAAGAGUAGCAAACAUAUCGACACCUCACAAAAGCAUGUUUUUGGACCAUCUCUCCCACACACUUCUAUACUAGUGGCAUAGUUACCGUUCGUGUAUAUAUCACAAAUUAUAGUAAAUUACGAUUAAGAAGAUAAAUAUUUAAGUUAAGGUGCAAAUAUCUUGCUUUUUCUAAGGAUAUUUGAGUCUACUGCAAUAUAAUUUACACCGAUUCAACAGUAGAACUCUUGACUUAUCUCCUUCAUGAUACAACAAUAUAAUUCAACAAUGUCGUAUAACUCAAAAACUUCAAAUUACAUUGGAAUGUAUUCCUUCAAUAUAAUAUUUCGUUCUUUUCAGUAGUGAAUAAGUUGGAGAUUUAGAAUAUUUUUCGUUUUCUCCACUCUUUCUUUCAAAUACUAAUCUCACUACACAUUACAAUACUUUCCCACACUAAUUCUCAUAAUUCUAAAGAUAUUUCAUUUAGACACUCGAAUUAACACAUUAACUUUUAAUAAAAUGUUUCAAUUAGAGAUUUACUAUAACAAAUAAAGAAUUUAACGACAAUAAUAUAAUUGUCUCCAUAUUAUAUUUAACGGCAAUAAUAAAUAUGAGUGUUUAUAAUAACACUUUAUAUAAAUAUUGCUAAAAGUUUUAGCGAUUCUGGAUGCAAUGAUAUUGACUCAAUUGUCGUUGAUAGGAAAAUCUAUUGCCAUAAAAUGUCUCUUUUGUUGUAGUGACUUUAGAUUCAGUUUUGGAAUUUUUUGUGUGUAUAUUCUUAUUCGUUUAUUAAAUAGUUAAAUUAAUCAUACACAUCAAUCUUAAAAAUAUUUUUAUUUUACAUUAUCCAUAUAUAUUAGUUAGUUUAACUCUUGAAUUAGCAAUUAAUAAAGUGUUCAUUGAUUUUUCCUUUUGUUUUCAACUUUUUCAUAUAUAAAGUAGAGCUUAAUUAAUUCUCUUGUGAUCCGUCCGACAAUGCAACUGAUGGUACAAUCUCUUGUCUUUUACUUUUGUUACCUCCUAAAAAUUACAAAUGGAAUUUAUGAUAAACACUUUUUUUUCCCUUAUUAAAUUAGGUCUUGAACUUUAUUUUACUAGUCAUAACUCAAAAAUUAGUUUAACGAAAAAAAAAGAUUGUCCAAAUUAUAUACCACCUAGAGUUUUCGUCUUUCACCGAUCAUAUAGGAUUCAUUCUAUUCAUCAUCUUUCUCUCCAAGCUCAGAUACAAAUAUUCUUUAUCAGAGGUUCCACUAUCUGAUCUAGUGCGUGCAAAUACAUUCAUGAAGUACUCCUAUAUUUCCCCCGAUAACUAUUCGAGACCCUAAAGAUCCGCAUCGAAUUAGGUCUAACUCCAAUAACGUAAAGAAGUUUAAUUUCUUAAAUGAACUCAAUUUCAUUCACAUUGUCCCACAUUUCCUUCUUUUCUAUGAAUACUUGUUUGACCUAUUGAUCCAGCAUGCAGUCCUUUGUUUACCAAGAAAAAGUAAAAGAUACUAUAUAAUUUUCCAUUAACAAUCAAUGGUAAAUUGAACAUUAUAAUAAAGUAGAACAAGAAUAUAUAUCUUCUCCCUUUAAUUUCCUAGUUGUUGGAAAAUGACAUAUCAUUACUAAUUAAAGGAUUAAUUGCUAAUUCAAGAUUUAAUGCGUGUGAACGAAACUUAAACGUGUUUUAUCAAAUAAAGUAUUAAAGCAAAAUAUUUUUUUUGUCUGGCAUGACAAAUGUUUGGACAAAUUUAGGUCAUGACUUGUUUAUGUCCCCAUUAAAAUAUGAGUAAAUUUUCCUUUAAUUAAUUUUGAACCACAAAAGGCGGUUAAUACUUCAUAACGAAUUACUGCUAAUUAACUUAAGAAUUUACAGAAAUAAAUAUUUAAAGAACAAUUAUAUGGAAUUUCUUAAUUAAUUAAUCGGUAGUCUGAAGAUAAUAAUAAAUUUAUCGUUUAUAACGUGUUAAAAUUAAAAUAUAUACGAAUUUGUAAAAAAUAAAAAAUAAAAAAAUUAGUAUAACCUAAGGAUAAAAUUAAGACCAGUCUGAAUACGAUCUUUCUGGUUACACUCAUUAGAAGUAACAAUUAUUAAUCGGGGCGGAGCUAGUGAUAUAGUUACAAGUGAAUUUAAUAAUUUUUAUUUAGAUUAUAUAUAUGUGUUAAAUAAUCCAUUAAAUGUAUAUGAUGUAUUUAAUUGGCUUGGAAUCCAGUCCAUUGAUUUGAUUAUUAUUACAAUAUUAAUUUAAGAUUGUUAUAAGAUAAAUCGACGUAAAAUUAAAUUAACUUUUUGAAUUUGCCUCUGAUUAUUACUAUCAUUUGUCUAAAUAACUAAGAUUAGAUUUGGACAUGUGCUACAUGUCUGAGAUGAAAGUUCAAGAAAUUAAAGUCAUGAUGCAACCACUCUCAUCAAUUGAAAAAUCUCCAAAAAAAAAAUCAUGAGAAAAUUGGCAAAAUAUUCUAUUGGUUUUGGUUGGUUAGUUUGGAAGCAUGCUACUUGAUAUUUCUAAAUUGGAUUAAAGGUUGAUUCCUUAUGUCGGAUGUUUGUUUUCUCAUUCAGUAUUCAAUAUUCAUAUUGAAACUCGACUGAUUUAAAUUCGCAUCGUGUAGGAUUCAUUUGGGAGAAUGACAAUUAUUUGUUGAACAUAUUUCCACAUGAAAUUAUAGGAUAUGCUUUUUUUUUUUUGGGGUGGGGGUGGGGGGUGGAAUCUGUAGCUAGAUGGACAAAACAACCAACAAAGAUAGACAAUGGUUUGGUGAGUGUUUUGGGGUCAAUUGGUUUCCAAGAAGUUUACACAGUUCUUGAAUAGUCCCAUGGUGGUUUGUAUCAUUCAAUGUAUACAAUUCCUAAUUGGUACUUUGUUAUUGGUGGAACAUAUUUUUUUUUUUUCUCAACGAUAACAAUUACUCUUUUCGUUUCAAUUUGUUCUUUUAUAAUUUAAUAAAUUACACAAAAUCUAAGAAAGUAAACAAUUUACUUUCUUAGAUUUAGUCGUUCUGAAUCUCUUAUACUAAAGAUAUGUAUAAUAUAUCAGUUUUUUUUUAAUUUUUUAUCGUUUUAAAUAUGUCAUAAGAAAUGUUAUGUUAAAAUUAACGAGUUAUCAAAUUAUGAUCGUGGUAUGUAAUGAUCAUGUGGAUCUAAUAUACCAAACAAAAUGGAGCUACCUUAGUGGGCAUGAAUAUAUCAUAUGAUGAAAGUCAUGGAUCACAUUGUUGUCUAAUUAGGACUUGUUUUUUCCCAAAAGAAGUCAUAUGUCUCCCAAGACUUAACAUUUUGGGGUCAGUUUUGAUUACUGAUGUCUGAAUUUUUUCUAUCAAAAAGUAUGCUAAGAGAACAAUUAAAUAUUGAAAUCAGCUUUCUUUUAAUUUUUAAAAAACUUAAAAAGGUCAUAGAAAAAAUUAUACUUCAGAAGAACGUAAAAACACCAUUAAUUUAGAGCGUAAGACUAGUAGACAGUUUACUAUGGACGAUAUCAUAAUUAAAGGGGUCGUUUGGUUUGAAUACUAGUUAUGUUGGGAUUAGUUAUGCUGGGAUAAGUUUACUGGGAUAAGUUAUGCUGAGAUUAGUUUUUAUUGUUUGUUUGGUUUGUCAUAUUCAAACUAAUAUUCAUUGUAUAAUUUUUUGAGAAUAAGUUGUUUGUUUACAAAAAUACCCUCACCUUAUAUAGUUUUUUUUUUUUUUUUUUACAUUUUCUUUGCAAUCUUUAGUUAUUCAUUCAUAAAAAUAAAAUUUCCAUCUUAUUUAGCUUAAAUAUUUUUGUGUGUGCAUUUCCAUGAUUGUGCCAUAUGUUUUAAAAUUUAAAUGCUCAUCUUAUUUAACUUAAAAAUUAAACUUUCGUCUUAUUUAGCUUAAAAAUAAAUGUUCAUCUUAUUUAGCUUAAAAAUAAAUUUUUCAUCUUAUUUAGCUUAAAAAUAAAACUUUCAUCUUAUUUAGUUUAAAAAUAAAACUUUCAUCUUAUUUAGCUUAAAAAUAAAACUUUUGUUUUUUAAGUUUAUUAAAGUAAAAGAAAAUUUAUUAUUAAAGUUAUCUACAUUUUAAUUAUAAAUAAAAUAUAAUUUUUUAAGUGAGUAAUAAACUAUUUUAAUGAAAAAUAUGUAAUUUAGUAGUGGAGUGAACAUUUUAAGAGAAAUCAAAAUAAUAAAUAAAACAUAAAUAAUUACGCAAAUAAAUUUAACUUAUAAUAUAUUCAUAAAUAAAAAUUGUAUUUAUAAAAUGUAAAUUUUUAAUAGAAAAAUGUAUUUAUCAUAAAAACAACGAAUACUUAAGGUUGUGAAUGAUAUUAUAAAUGUUGUUAAAAAUUAUGUUAAUAUGUAUGAAUGUAAAAGUGGUGUAUAAAAGAGAGUUUAAGGGGGGUAUUUUUGUUAAUUUAUACACUUUAUCCCAUGAUAACUUAUCCUGGGAUUACUAUAUCACCCCCAGUGAGGGAUAACUUAACCCAUGACUAAUUGUUAAUCCUGAGAUAAGUUAUCCCUACCUUUGCAACCAAACAAUGAAUUAAAUGCCACUAAAAAAUUAUUCCAGGAUUAAUUCAUCUUAUCCAUCACACCAAACGACCCCAAAGGGUCAUAUAAAGAGUCCCUAAAUCCCCAUUCUACGAAUGAUGUGUCAUGUGUGGGACUCAACACAUUAAACUUUGAUUCAUUUUCUGAUAUUAAUCAUAAUUAAAUGCAACAAAUCAUACAAAAAAAAGACAAAGUACACGUAUAUGAACAAUAAAUUGUUCAUGAAUGAUUACAAGUAGAACAAAAUUAUGUUGUCUCGAUGAAAUGUAUAAUUUCUAGCUAAGUGGACCACUUCAUUUCAAAGUGUCAAUUGGGCAUGCACAAGACAAAAUUUAAAGAAAUUCAAUGUAUAUAAUAUAUAUACAUAAUUUCUUUUUACCCUACAUGGUAUAAUAUUCUGACAAAGGUGGUUCCAUUACUGUCAAGAUGAUCGAUCGUCUCUAAGUAAUUUGUUUUCCUCAACUUCAAUUUUGAUGUUUCAAUUUAUAUGAAUUUUUUCGAUUGGAUACAAAUUUAUGAUCAGUUUUAAUUUUUAAAUAUGCCAAAAUAUUUAUGUUAUAAAGAUAAAUAAAAAUGAAAUUAAAUAACUUUCAAAUUUAAGAAAAAACAUUCUUGUUAAAUGCACUAAAAAGGAAAUAUGAUUAUGUUAGAAGUGUAGCAUUCUUGUCUAGGAAAAAUGUACAUGUUCAAUAAAGCAAAGAUGAAAAGGGAUAAGAGUUUGAAAAAUAUCUUAACUUUUGCCGAAAUUGCUGUUACGAUACCAAACUUUAAUGAGGACCUAUUACCCCCAAACUAUUUAAUACCAUAUUUUAAACAUAUAUAUUUGUCCACAUGGACAUAAAAAAUAAUGCAUAAUUAUAAAUAGUAAUAUGUCCACGUGGGCACAUAUAUACCUUUAAAAUACACCAUUAAAUAGUUCAGGGGGUAAAAAAUACACUAUUAAAUAGUUCAGGGAUAAUAGGUCCUCCAUAAAGUUUGGUAUCGUAACAACAAUUUCGGCCAAAAUUGAAGUAUUUUUCAGACUCUUAUCCCUAAAAAGAAUAUCAACAACACAUGAUUUACUUUAUUCUUCCUUUGAACAAAAAAAAGAGAAAAACUUUAUUCCUCCUAAUUGAUUUAUAGGAGUCUAUUGGGUACUAGAGGAGGAGCUUCCUUUGAAAAGCAAAUACAUAGUGCAUUGUACAUUGUAAAGAAGAAAGAGAAGUUCCUAACACAAAAAAAUGUGUUUAUUACUCUACAAACACAUUCUUCUUCUUUUCUAUUUUCUUUUUUUGUUAUUUUCUAGAUUUGCGUCGUGUAGCAUAAAAUUUAUUUAUACCUAGGAAUUGAAUUUAUGGUCUUUAAGAAUCUUAUACAUUUUAGGAAAAAUUACCUAAAUACAUAUAAGAUUUUUCCAUAAUCUCUAAAAUUUUCAAUCAUUUACAAAAAUUUCAAAAAUUCCCUCUCGAAUUUAUCACUCUCCUCUCGCUGAUACAUUCCUAUCCCCUCUCAGAUACAUUCCUCACAUAUGUAUCUAGAUGUCUGCUGAUGUAUCCGGAAGUCCAGUGAUGUAUUCAGAUGUCCUAUCCCCUCUAUGAUACAUCCCUCCCCUCUCGGAUACAUCCCUCACUUAUGUAUCCGGAUGUCCAGUGAUGUAUCAGGAAGUCCAAUAAUGUAUCCGAAAUCCAUAAAUUUUAAAUUUUUUUUAUAAUUUGAAAAAGAAUAGAAAAAUAAUGUAAUUAAUUCAUAACACUCGUUUUAUGACAAGGAUUAAUGUUCUUCAAUCUUAUUUGGUACCAAAAGCACUCACGAAAAGGAUUAAAAUCGAAGCGGGCCUAGUAGAAUCACGGGUUCUCGGUGGCCCAACUUUGUUAUUCCAUCUGUGGCGCGUGAUAGGGACGUUUAAUUCCAUUUAGGAACAACAAUUCUCCCUCCCAGUCAUAAACGCACCAAAUAAGUAGGCACAAAGUCACCUGUUGUUACAGACCGAUAAAUAUUUCUUCAUUCUUAGGAUUCGUUUGGCCAUAGAUUUCUCAAGUAAAAUUUAGGGGAAAAAUUGACAAAUAGUGUUUGUCCAUAUAGUUUGUCAUUAUUUGAUAAAUAUUUUUGGCAAAUAACCCAAAUUCCCAAAUACUAGAAAAAACUAGUAUUUGGGUCAAAUCUCAUUAUUUGGGAGCUUUAAAAAAUUCAAAUUCUAUAUCAAACUUUUAUCUUUUACAAAAACAUAGUAGUUGUUUAUGUUGUAUUACAUAAGUAAUUUUUUACGUGAACACCAAACCAGUGAUGAAAUAUUCAGUGAAUAUGAAAGUGAUGAUAUGGUUGUUGAUGAAAAUGACGAAUAAUUGGCUCAGGGUAAUAAAGUCAUGUGCUCCGUCUACUUCACGAUGUAUGGAAUGAUGCUUGUUGCACUACCACAUUGCUCUAGUGUCAUGGACACUACUUGUUAUUUACUGCAACAAAGGUCCAAUUGACUUGUUGCGGAAGUCACGAAUCUUGUUACGUCGACGUUUCUAUUUUGCUAUGUAAUACAAUGGUUAGUUUUGAUAGUUUUUAAAACUUAUGGGUAUAAAUCAAAUUUAUUAAAAAUAUGAAAUACAUUUCCCAAAUAUUAUGCCAAACACAUGGUGAAAUUUCACCCAAAUAAUAUUUGUCAAAAAUAUUUGGGAAUCUGUGGCCAAACGCUAGCUUAAUAGCUUUCGAAUUUAAAUUAUUUGGAUAAAGAGUUGCCUUUGUUAGAGAGUGCUUUAAUAUCAAUGUGAGAUUUUCAGACGCAAAUUUAAAUUUGUCGGACUCCAAUAUAAAUAUCGGACACUGAAUUGAAAAAAAAAGUAGGCAGAAAGUGAUAGUAGAAAGCAAUUGAAUUGAAUUCUUUAUGUUCCACUUAGAAUUUCCUCCAACAUAAGCCAACCACAACCUUAAAUGUGCACCAAAGAAUCAAUCAAUCACCAAAAGAUAUAUAUAAUAAUACUACUAAAACAAUAACUAUAUUUUAAUAUUAGAAAACUUAAGGAGAUCAAAUUAGAGAUCUUUAAAAUGGUGAUGUUAUGAAUCAAGUAUAGUUUUAGUUUACUACUUAUAAAUGGUGUACUAGUUAUGGAAGUUUUAAAGAGGGAUGAAGAAGAUGUUAGUCCUAGAUUUUCAUUUCAAAAGAAUGGAUCAUCAUUGUCUUGUGUAGUACCACCAUUUUUGCUCAGCCCACAAAAGAGCUUGUACUACAACAAGUUGCCUGAGGAGCCAUUCAAUCUCACAAUACUCAAAUUGGAUGGCUCUUCCUUUGGUAUUUUUUCUUAUUUUCCUCCUCCUGUUGAAUUGUCUUAUGAAAUACUGAAAUUGAUCUCCAUCUUUAUGUGUCUGUAUAGACGACGAAUUCAGGAUUUAGAGUCGGUGAGUUCAAAUAGUACUGAAAUUCAUGUGUGUAUGCCCUUAGAAAUGGAUCCAGAAUUCAGAUAUUAGUAUUGUUUAUUUGUGUGUAUUUUUUUAAUUAUUCGGGCUAGGGAAUGGUAUGGGAUUACAAGGUGGGGAAUGAACCCUCACUGAGGUGAAAGUUCAAGUAGCCAACUAACUGACUUACUAAUAAUCCCCCAUAUAUGUGUGUAUAUACAUAUACAAUCUUGGAGCCAAGAAUUUGGCGAAGGGUGUGCAAAUUUUCUUCUCAGUUGUGUUAAGGGGGUGCUAAAUUAAAUAUACACUCAUAAUAGCUAACAUUUAACCUCUGUAUACCACAUAAUUUUCAAGAGUGUGCCCCAAACCAUCCUUCACCUAAGAUGGCUCCGCCCAUGUACUUAUAUGUAUAUGAUUUUUUAAAUAUUUUGAUAUGUAUAUAUGGUUUGAGUCCAAGGUAGUAGGACAUUAGGUGCUAUCACACUUAUUCUAUACUACCUUGUUUGAUCCACAUGUGGUUCGCUAGAAUUGAUGUAUCCAGGGGCGGAGCUAGCUUGGAGGAAGGGGAUUCAUUUGAAAUCCCUUCACUAUUAAGCAAAUAGGGUGAAAGGUAGUCCUUUUUUGUGUUGUUUUGUUGUAUAUUAGUUUUCAAACGCCCUUGACAUGAGAAUUCUUUUAGUGGAGUGGCAAAGGGGGUUCAAAAAUUGCUUUACUUAGUAAGCUUCAUCAUUGGUCAUGUAUCAUAUGUUUUUUCAAAUGGUCAGAUCAAUUGAAUUUUGUGUUGUGCAGAUAUUAAAGUUGCAAGGAAUGGGACAGUGGCGGAGCUGAAACAGGCGGUGGAAUCUGUCUUCAGUAAUUUUCCGAAGACAGGAACAGGCAAGGUUUCAUGGUAUGUGCUUUGCAAAAAGGAACUUUCAAACUAAACUUCUUCUGUUGUAGAUUGCUUGAGACUUAUACUUCGAUUUCUGUCUGACAUAAUUUGCAUAGCUGUUUCACUGUAUAUUACCUUAGCUAGUUCUUUCAAAUUCACUAGUUUUAUUGUGACAAUAUUACAGGUCACAUGUAUGGGGACAUUUUUGCUUGAGCUACGAUGGGCGGAAGCUACUUACUGAUAGUGAUUUGUUAGGAACCUAUCGGAUCAAGGAUGGCGAUAAGGUUUCUUCUCAUUCAUCAUAUUUCCACUCUAGGAAAGUUCUCUUUUAUCUAAUCUUUAUAUGAUUUGCUUAUGUUACUUGUUGCCAAAUGCAUUGGAAUAUGCAAUUUGUAAAAGGAGAUGUAUAGGCUUUGAAGAAAAUUGAUUUUUUUUAGCCAAAUCAGAAUCUUGACAUCUGCAGUUGAAUGUGUGUGGUUCAAUAUAUUCCCGUUUGUUUGGAAAUUACUAAGCUCCUUCGAGUACAUCUUCGUUAGCAAAUAAUUCUGAAUGCACUAUAAAGAGGUGAAAAUGGUCUGAAGAGAGACCUGUAAAAAGCAGGUUCAAUUACUAAGGUCUAAGGCUCUAAGGAGAUUCUGGUUCAAAUGAAUUCUCCCAACCGAAAAGAAACAGAUUUAUCAUCAAAAUAUUUUAGAUAAUCGUGAAAAUGUAAGAUUGCUCACGUAGACAGAUUUCACACGGUGUUUGCAUAUAGCCAGAGGCUGUGGUUUCUUUCACUAGACUGAUUGUUUAUCCGAUUUUGUCUAUAUUCUGGCUUAUGAGAUCUCGUUCAGCAGUUUCUUUCCACCCUGGAGUUAAGAAUUUUUCAGAUCAUUGCUAAUGAUUAUGUGCUUUUUUCGUUAUAAAGCCCAAGUGGAAUUUUUUAACAUUUCCUUAACGCGCUAAAGCUUGAUGUUUUUGCAUUUGCAGCUCAGUUUUAUGAGGCAUGUCUCCAUCAGUUACAAUCUGGUCAAAACGCGAUCAGAGAGAGAGGACCCUAGUAAGAAUGAACCUAGCAUGUAAGAUAUGUAUAUUGUUUUCAUCCUUAUUGUUGGUUCAUGUGUUCUAAUAUUGCACUUCACCCAUGCCUGUUAUGGUAUUGUUUGCUAUCGAUGCUUGAUUCUUCCAUAGAUUGCAAACACUAGGCCUAAGUUGCUGGAGACACUUGGUCAUAAAAGUUGAAUCUUGUUCAUCUAGGUGUUUCCAUAUAUAGUUUCUAAUACUAGAAUAUUGUCAUUUAUAUGUUCCAUUUAUAGUUUCUAGGGAAAAUGCAUAAGUACCCCCAGCCUAUGCCCGAAAUCUCAGAGACACACCUAACCUUUACUAAGGUCCUAUUACCCCCCCGAACUGAAUUUAUCUAUAAUAUUCUACCCCUUUUCGGCCUACGUGGCACUAUCCUUGAAAAAAUUGUCAACGUGUGCUGGGCCCACAAGAUAGUGCCACGUAGGCCAAAAAGGGGUAGAAUAUUACAUAUAAAAUAAGUUCGGGGGGGUAAUAGGACCUUAGUAAAGGUUAGGUGUGUCUCUGGGAUUUCGGGCAUAGGUUGGGGGGUACUUAUGCAUUUUCCCUAGUUUCUAUGUUGAUUUCUUGCCAGUACUGCUCACCACACUUUGUGUGAUCAUGCAGAGUUUAUGCAUAUUUUUAUGAAAUGUUCACUAUAUGUAUGAAUUUGUCUUGCAUAGUGGCAUUGUAAGGGCACAUAGAUAACAUCAUCUUUGAAAAUGCAUUUUUGCAGAUCAAAAGGCUGUGAAAGCAGACAACGGAGAGGUGAACGAGAGGGUAAUCACCAUCAAGAUGACUUAUCAGAGAACCAAAGCAAUAAUCAUGACAACAACAAGGGUGUUGUAGCUAAUUGUGAAUCCAGGUUGGUUCAUUUGUUUAGAGGGUGGCUCCCAUACAAAUUGACAAGCCCAGAGAGGAGAAUGAAACAGAAGAGCAGCACAUCGAGAUCACACGAUGGUCUACUUAUGGAGUUCUAACAGUGUUGUGCUAUGAUUAGUACUUUUGAAAGAGAGGAAUCCAGCAACUGUUUGCAAAUGUCAAAGAGAGUUGGAGAGUGAAAUGGAAAACAUCCACCUCUAGUUAAAGUUCUAAACUUUUGACUUUAUAAAAGAAGAUCAGUUGCCUGCCUAUGCAUCUGUUCCAUUUCCUCAUUUGCAUAUCAAAAUUAAUUGUGUACAUGAAUUUGCUUGUGUAGAACAAAAAUAUCUCUUUGGUCAUUAGAAACAGCAAAUCCACUAUCAUCAGACUUGAACUUCUGCAUUCUGGUUUGGGAUCUCCAUGAGUAUUCAAAAAGAGUUUGUGUUUUAUACACUGACGGUAUAAAAAGCUACUUACACAAUUCAGUCACUCAUGAACUAAUUAUAGGUACAUACUACAAGGAUUAAAUGGUAAUCUAGUAGAAAUGUUAACUAAUGGUAUGCUCCUCAGACUUGUUCAAAAAUGUCAUUGUGAUCCUUCAAAAAAGUUGUGCAUUUUUGGAGGAUUUUAGAAGAAUCCGAGAAACUUCAUACUAGCCUAUCAUCAUAGGUUAAAACUACACUAAUAGAGUAAACAUUAUUUACACUAUUAGCAUGUUUACUUGAACCGAGACAAGAAAUUAGGCAUAUGAAUUAACUUGCGGACCACAAUUUUCAAACUUUUUAGUCACUCUACCAACUAAUAACAAGUGUAAUUUUUUUUUUUCUGGUUUCCCAUCUCAUUAUAUCCGUCUUGGAGCCCUAUUAAUUUGGAUUCGGCCCAUUCAGAUGUAGCACCCGUUACCAAAAACUAUUAACCUUAUCCACUGCACCACGACAUUUGGAGAUACUAAAAUUGUGUAACUAAUUAAACAAGGAUAUGACUUAGAAAAAUAUACUCAGAGAGAAAAAGAAUGACCUCACGUGAGUCGCACACCCUUAGAGCUCCAAUUCUCAGCCUCAACUUAUUGUGUGGCAUAGAUUGAGAUAGCCUUUCUAAGAUCUUCCUUGUUUCCUUUUGUUAAAAAAAAAAUAAUCAAGAUUCGAACCUCUCAAAAAGAUUUUGUUUUUUUACAACUGCAAAAUCCCAAGUUGCAGAAGAGUAGAAAAAGAAGAAGAAGCCAUGGCCAACAUGAUGAUGAGCUCCUCCAAAGUCUUAAUCACUUCUUCAUCUUCCACCAUCCCUCCAUCUCCAAGAUUCAAACUUUCCCUCACCCAAAUCCCUUUUCCAAAACUACCCCUCCCCAAAUCACCCAAAUCCCUUGAAACCCUCUCAAUCCCAUCAACUCUCAAGUCCAUUUCAGUCAUUCUUGCAAGCUCAUUGGCCAUGGCACCACCUUCACUAGCAGAAGAAAUUGAAAAAGCUUCCCUUUUUGAUUUCAACUUGACACUCCCAAUCAUGAUGGCUGAAUUCCUGUUUCUCAUGUUUGCUUUAGACAAGAUUUACUUCAGCCCAUUAGGGAAAUUCAUGGAUGAAAGAGAUUCUGCCAUUAAGGAGAAAUUGAGCAGUGUGAAGGACACCUCUGCUGAAGUGAAGCAACUGGAAGACCAGGCUGCUGCAAUUAUGAAGGCUGCAAGGGCUGAGAUAUCAGCAGCAUUGAACAAGAUGAAGAAAGAGACUCAGCAAGAAGUAGAACAGAAGAUUGCAGAAGGAAGGAAGAAAGUUGAGGCUGAAUUGCAAGAAGCUUUGGCUAGCUUAGAGAGUCAAAAGGAGGAGACAAUCAAGAGUCUUGAUUCUCAGAUUGCUGCUCUUAGUGAUGAGAUUGUCAAGAAAGUCCUUCCUGUCAGUAACUAAUUCUGAAAAGUUGUAAUGUUUUUUUUUCUUGGGAUUGGUAAGAGUUAACAGCUUGUUUGGAUGGAUGGUUGUUACAUGUAAUAUUGUACUGUGUUGUUAGUUUAAAUACAAUGUUUAUUUUGAUUGUUACUUAAUUUUAUUAUAUCAUAUCAUUAAAACCAUUGUUAUGUAACCACAAAAAGUCUCAUUUUAUAUAAUGAGAUUUGGUGUGAUCACGUUGUUAUGUUGGUUUUUUUUUUUUGUUGUUGUUGUGAUGCUCUUCCCCCUCUCUCUCUCUCUCUCUCUCCUUCUCUGGUAUUCUCUCAUAUUUUUCAGCCUUCUAGCUGCUGCAUUUUUUAGUAAACUGUAAACCCAACAUUUACAUCCAUAUAUGCAUUAUGCAAACAUAUUUAUAAUUUUACCAUUUUUUGUUCUUUGCACUGAAAAGAACUGAUUGUCAAAUAGUCUUUGUCUGCAGAUAUGGACUCCCAGCUGAUAGAUUAUGGAUUAGUGUUUACGAAGAUGAUGAUGAAACUUUUGCACUAUGGCAUGAUGAGGUACAACACUGAAAGAUAUGUCUGAUGCAUUAUAUCUUUAGUGAAGUAAUAAGGUCAAUCCUUCUACAAUUAACUAGUUAUGCACUUAUGCAUGGUAGGGAUCUGGUAAAUAAAUGCUGGAGCGCAACCUUCCAUUUAGACUGAACAGAGGUGUAUUAUGGUCAUUCAAAGAUACCUAGAGAACUUCAUUGCUUUCCAAGUGAAGUGAAGUGAAGUGUAUCAAACAGCCAAAUACUGUAUUUUAAGAUCCUGAAAUAUGUAUACUGUACAGUUUCAAGAAAUAUGUAUACUGUGUUCAAACUUAGAUGAGUUUCAAGGCUAAAACAAUGUCUCUCCAUUAUGGCUUAGUCAGUGGGGAUAACUCAAAUAAUGACUUAGAAGAACACAUUUAUUUUGAUAAGUGAGAAGAGCACAUUUUAUUAUUAAGCUACCUCAGUUUAAGUCAAAGGAACCUCAUUUACGUUGGAGUGUGCUCUGUCAAAUAUGAGAAGUCUAUUGCAACCAAGUUUUAAGAAUGACUGUAUUUAGUUCACAUUUUGAUCUUGAAUGGAAUAUCUUUUGACGUUCUCGGUCUGUGUGCUUAUGCUCCCCAAGUGGGCUUGGACGAGGAGGCCAAAAAGCGCUUUUAUGAGGAUUUGGAUGAGGUAGUUAGAGGUAUACCGAAUACCGAGAAGAUUGUCAUUGGUGGAGAUUUUAAUGGCCACAUCGGGGCAACUGCUAGUGGAUUUGAUGAUGUUCAUGGAGGCUUUGGUUUUGGGGAGAGAAAUGGAGGUGGAACUUCGCUUCUAGACUUUGCUAAGGCUUUUGAGUUGGUGAUUGCUAACUCAUGCUUUCCGAAGAAGGAGAACCACUUGGUUACCUUUCGUAGCCCGGUAGCUAAGACCCAGAUAGAUUACUUUCUCCUUAGGAGGGGUGAUAGAGGUCUAUUUAAGGACUGCAAGGUUAUCCCAAGUGAAAACCUCACUAUCCAACACAAGCUUUUGGUGUUGGACUUGAAGAUUAAGAGGGAUAGGAGGAAGAAGAUGUUAUCUGACCGACCGAGGAUUAAAUGGGGUGGGUUGACCCCUGCCCUUUCUCGGGAGAUGGGUGAGGAGCUGAUGGGGAUGGGGGCAUGGAGUGGUAGCGGGGAUGCGGACAACAUGUGGAAUAAAGCAGCUAGUUGCAUUAGGGAAGUUGCUUCUAAGAUGCUAGGGGUGUCUAGGGGUAAAUUCGGAGGACAUAAAGGAGAUUGGUGGUGGAAUGGGGAAGUCCAAGGUAAAGUGGAAGCGAAGAAGGCUGCAUACACAAAAUUGGCGGAGUGCGUAGACGAGGAAGAGAAGCGGACGCUUAAGAAAGCCUAUAAGACGACAAAGACAGAAGCUAAGUUAGCUGUUUCGAAGGCGAAGACGGCAGCUUUCGAACGCUUGUAUGUCGAGUUGGGGGACAAAGGUGGGGAUAAGAAGUUGUAUAGGCUCGCAAAAGCAAGAGAGAGGAAGGCGCGCGACUUGGACCAAGUGAAGUGUAUCAAAGAUGAGGAAGGCAAAAUACUGGUGGAAGAGACCUCUAUCAAGCAAAGAUGGCGAAGCUACUUUCACAAACUUUUAAAUGAAAAAGGGGAAGCGGACAUUGUGUUGGGUGAUUUGGCACACUCUGAAAGACUUCGGGAUUUUGGAUACUGUAGGUGCGUUACGCCCGAGGAGGUUAUACGGGCUAUUAGUAGGAUGAGUAGGGGAAGAGCGACCGGACCCGAUGAGAUUCCGGUAGAAUUUUGGAAGAACAUGGACAAGGCAGGCAUAGAGUGGUUAACUGGGCUGUUUAAUGUUAUUUUUAAGACAGCGAAAAUGCCUGAUGAAUGGAGGUGGAGUACAAUGGUUCCGUUGUAUAAAAACAAGGGUGAUAUCCAAAACUGUAACAACUACAGGGGUAUUAAAUUGUUGAGUCAUACUAUGAAGAUUUGGGAGAGAGUGGUGGAGAUGAGAGUGAGAAAAGGGGUGUCCAUCUCCGAGAACCAGUUUGGAUUCAUGCCGGGACGUUCGACUACCGAAGCCAUUCAUCUUAUGCGUAGACUGGUAGAAAAGUAUAGAGAAAGGAAGAGAGACCUUCACAUGGUGUUCAUUGACCUUGAAAAGGCCUAUGACAAAGUACCGAGGAAUGUCCUCUGGAGGUGCUUGGAGUCUAAAGGAGUCCCGAUGAUUUAUAUUAGGGCGAUAAAGGACAUGUACGGUGGAGCCAAGACUCGGGUUAGAACAGUUGGAGGAGACUCAGAACAUUUCCCAGUUGAGAUGGGGCUGCACCAGGGAUCAGUCCUAAGCCCUUUCCUAUUUGCUUUGGUGAUGGACGAGUUAACGCGGUCUAUUCAGGAGGAGGUCCCAUGGUGUAUGUUAUUUGCGGAUGACAUAGUACUGAUUGAUGAGACGCGGGACAGAGUUAAUGCGCGGUUGGAGGUGUGGAGACAAACGCUGGAGUCCAAAGGGUUCAGGUUGAGUAGGACCAAAACAGAAUAUUUGGGGUGCAAAUUCAGUGAUGUGGUAGAUGAGACAGAUGUGGAAGUGAGACUUGCCGCACAAGUCAUUCCUAAGAAGGAAAGUUUUAAGUAUCUUGGGGCUGUAAUCCAAGGGAGUGGNNNNNNNNNNNNNNNNNNNNNNNNNNNNNNNNNNNNNNNNNNNNNNNNNNNNNNNNNNNNNNNNNNNNNNNNNNNNNNNNNNNNNNNNNNNNNNNNNNNNNNNNNNNNNNNNNNNNNNNNNNNNNNNNNNNNNNNNNNNNNNNNNNNNNNNNNNNNNNNNNNNNNNNNNNNNNNNNNNNNNNNNNNNNNNNNNNNNNNNNNNNNNNNNNNNNNNNNNNNNNNNNNNNNNNNNNNNNNNNNNNNNNNNNNNNNNNNNNNNNNNNNNNNNNNNNNNNNNNNNNNNNNNNNNNNNNNNNNNNNNNNNNNNNNNNNNNNNNNNNNNNNNNNNNNNNNNNNNNNNNNNNNNNNNNNNNNNNNNNNNNNNNNNNNNNNNNNNNNNNNNNNNNNNNNNNNNNNNNNNNNNNNNNNNNNNNNNNNNNNNNNNNNNNNNNNNNNNNNNNNNNNNNNNNNNNNNNNNNNNNNNNNNNNNNNNNNNNNNNNNNNNNNNNNNNNNNNNNNNNNNNNNNNNNNNNNNNNNNNNNNNNNNNNNNNNNNNNNNNNNNNNNNNNNNNNNNNNNNNNNNNNNNNNNNNNNNNNNNNGUUGUUGUUGUUGUUGUUGUUGUUGUGAUGCUCUUGCAGACAUAUAUGGGGACAUUGUUGCUUGGGCUAUGAUGGGCAGAAGCUACUUACUGCUAUUAAUUUGUUAGGAACCUAUUGGAUCAAGGAUGGUGAUAAGGUUUCUUCUCAUUUCAUCGUAUUUUCUCGGAAAGUUUUCUUUUAUCUAAUCUUUAUAUGGUUUGCUUAUGUUGCUUGUUGCUAAUGCACUGAAAUAUGCAAUCUGUAAAAGGAGAUUAUUAGAUUAGGAACCACAUUCCAAUAAUUUCCAGUCCAUCUUAUGUCCAGGCUUUGAAGAAACUUGAUUUUUUGUUGAGAUGAAUCAGGAUAUGUCAUUUUGCAGUUGAAUGUGUGUGGACUUGCACGGAUGGAGCUUAUAAGUCAGAAGUUUGGCUGUAAUUGUUCUGAUUUGCAUUUUUAUUGUUUCGAUGUAGGAGUCUUUGAUUGGAAACUAAAAAGCGGUGCAUAUGGUCUGAAGAGAGACAUGUAAAAGCAGGUUCAAUUACUAAGGCUCCAGAGAAUUCUGGUUCAUAUGAUUCUCCCAAACCAAAAGGCAACAGAUUAUCACUUACAAGUAAAGAGCUGAAUAUGGGCCAAAGCAGAGAACUCUGUUUAUUAUAAGUUAGAACUUUCUUUUGGAGAUUUUAGAUGGAUUAUCUUCCCACCUAAUGAGAUAUGUACAUUUUCCUCUAUGAAGCACAAGUGAAACUGUUUGAACAUUUCCUUGGCUCGCUAAUUCUUGAUGUUUUUGCAUGUGCAGCUCACUUUUAUGAUGCAUGUCUCCAUUAGUUACAAUCUGGUCAAAACGUGAUCAGAGAGAGGACCCUCAUGAAAAUGAAGCCAAGCAUGUAAGUUCUGUAUACUGGCUUUGUCAUUAUUGUUGGUUCAUCUGUUCUAAUAUUGCCCUUCACCCUAUUGCUUUGCUAUCAAUGCUUGAUUCUUCCAUAGAAUGCAAACACUCGGCCUUAGUUGUUGGACUUUUGGUUAUAAAAGUAGGAUCUUGUUCAUCUAGGUGUUCCCAUUUAUAGUUUCUAUACUGGAACAUUGACAUAUAUAUGUUCCAUUUAUAGUUUCUAUGCCGAUAUUUUCCCAAUACUGCUCAUCAUCAUACCGAUAUAAACCUGGCUAUGUUACUUUGUAUGAUCAUGCAGAAGAAUUGGAAGAAUGGACGUAGUGUUGCAGAGUUUAAUGCAUAUAUUUAUGAAAUGUUUAACUAUAUGUAUGGAUUUGUCUUGCAUAGAGGCACUGUAACUUGUAAGAGCAGUUUAGGUAAUAUCCUCUUUGUAAAUGCAUUUUUGCAGACCCAAAAGCUGUGGAAGCAGACAUCAGAGAGGUGAACGGGAGGGUAAUCACCAUCAAGAUGAUUUAUUAAAGAACCAUCAAACUAGUUUUAAUGACAACAGGUGUGUUGUAGCUAAUUGUGAAUCCAGGUUGGUUCCUUUGCUUAGAGGGUGGUUCCCAUACAAGUUAGCAAACCCAGAGAGCAGAAUAAAACAGAAGAGCAGUGCAUCGCGAUCACACGAAUGGAAAGCAUUCACCUCUAGUUGAUAGAAAAUUAGUAAUUUGUAUCAUCUGUUCCAUUUCCUCAUUUGCAGAUGACAGUCAAUUAGUUGUGCAACAUGAUUUUACUUGGGGUUUGGCAUAAAAAAAAAGUCUUGGGAUUGUGUAAAAGAGCACCCCCACUCCCCAAUUUCCUCUCCAUGUACACUAGUUUCUAGGUUCUGUGUAAUCAAAUCUUGAUUUUCAUCAUUUUGCCUAAGAACACAAAUGCACUAAUAUCUCUUGGUCAUUACCUCAUUGGUUAGGGCAAAUCCAUCUAUCAUCACACUUAACUUCUGCAAUCUGGUUUGGGAUCUCCAUGGUUAUUAAGAAAAAGUUUAACUUCUUAUGCAUUGACGGUGUAAAAAAAUUACUCAUACCAUCAGGUUAAUCAGGAGGUAAGGUAACUACAUGUAAAUCAUACGAUAAGCAUUAGUUGAUAAUCAAAUAAAAACAUUAACUAACCUAUCAUCAAAGGUUAAACUACACUGAUAGCAUAAAAAAUCUUUACUCUAUUUGGUGUAAUAACUUAAAUCCAAGUUACAAAAUUGGUAUAUGAAUUAACUUGUGCAUCACAAUUCACAAACUUUCAGUCACUCCUUAGUGAAUAAAACCAAAAGGCUACUUACAACUAAUUACAAUUUUGUGCAUAUCAAAUGCCAAUGCCUUUGGUUUAUUAGAAUUACUUAAAUAAAUACUCACAGAAAAAGAAAAAAAAAGACCAGUUGCACACCCAUCUCAGCCUCAUAAUAUUGUGUGGGCAUAGAUUGAGAUAGCCUUUCUAAGACUUUCCUUCUUCCCUUCUAAAACCACCAAAUAAAAAAUCUAGAAUCAAACCCUCUAAAAAAUCCCAAGUUCUAAGAAGCCAUGGCCAACAUGAUGAUGAGCUCCUCCAAAGCCUUAAUCACUUCUUCAUCCUCCACCAUUCCUCCAUCUCCAAGAUUCAAACUUUCCCUCACCCAAAUCCCUUUUCCAAAACUACCCCUCCCAAAAUCACCCAAAACCCUUGAAACCCUCUCAAUCCCAUCAACUCUCAAGUCCAUUUCAGUCAUUCUUGCAAGCUCAUUGGCCAUGGCACCACCUUCACUAGCAGAAGAAAUUGAAAAAGCUUCCCUUUUUGACUUCAACCUGACACUCCCCAUCAUGAUGGCUGAAUUCCUCUUUCUCAUGUUUGCUUUAGACAAGAUUUACUUCAGCCCAUUAGGGAAAUUCAUGGAUGAAAGAGAUUCUUCCAUUAAGGAGAAACUUAGCAGUGUAAAGGACACAUCUGCUGAAGUGAAGCAACUGGAAGACCAAGCUGCUGCAAUUAUGAAGGCUGCAAGGGCUGAGAUAUCAGCAGCAUUGAACAAGAUGAAGAAAGAGACUCAGCAAGAAGUAGAACAGAAGAUUGCAGAAGGAAGGAAGAAAGUUGAGGCUGAAUU